UUAUGAUCUCCAUAGUGUGACAUACCUUAAUCUUAAGUGGAUGAUAGACUAUGUAUACGUAACUCCUAUAAUUUGAUGUAAAUGAAAGCUUGAGCUCAAAUAGAUAAAGAGCCAAAAGCUAAUGCAUUAGGUACAUAACUUCUGUAUAAUGUAGCUGUACAGACCCAAUUUUACCCCCGCCUAGUGCCAAAAACAUUAACCCAAAAUACCCCAGCCCAACAAACUAAACUAAACCCAAUUACAACAGGCCCAACACCCAAAUAACCUAACAACCCUAGCCCAACAGAAUCAGAAAAAUGAACAACAAAAACAAACCCUAGGUGCGCCGCACCUAGGGUCCUCUGACUUCUGCCGUCGUCAGCGUAAAUGGCGCACCUGCCACCGUCCCUCGCACGCCUCCGUCACGUCACGUCUCCUCCGCGCCUCUAACUCCCUGCAAGAUGAAAUAACACGCAAAACAGAGACCAAGCAGUCGAAAAUAAUAUUUUAUUGUAUCAUUUUCAGAUAUAAAAAAGGCCAAAGAUUAUCUUUCUUCGGGGGGUGGUUUUUUGAAAAAAUAUCAAGAAAAACAGAAAAGAAAUCAAAGGUUUUUUUCUCUCUUUGUGUUCGGAUCUCUUUUUGCUUUUAUUUUUCUGUCUGAUUUUUUUUUCUUUCAUACUAAAUAACACAAAAAAAAAUAAAAAUCUUUACCUGCGCCGCGCCGGAGGAGGAGAGACCGAACGAUUUCUUCUCGUUUUUUCGGGUUUGGGCUCACCUUUCUCGUGAUUCGACAUCGAAUCCAUGCUCUAGUGGCCACCAGGUUCAAAAAGGGACCCGAAAGGCUCAAUUUUGCACCUCCGGCCGCUGCCUGCGGCGGAGCUACGGCGGAGGUGCAUCGGAGCACUUGGCCGGAACCUAGCCGGAGUUUUGAGAGAGAAAAAGGGGGUGGUUCUUUUUU
rnacentral:lncRNA from 1 species